AGAGUUUGAUUAUGGCUCAGGAUGAACGCUGGCGGCGUGCCUAACACAUGCAAGUCGAACGGGCUCAUAGUGACAGAGACUCGGUUGAAGGAAUUAUGAAGUUAGUGGCGGACGGGUGAGUAACGCGUGGAGAACCUGCCCUGUACAGGGGGAUAACACCUGGAAACAGGUGCUAAAACCGCAUAAGCGCACGGUACCGCAUGGUACAGUGUGAAAAAACUCCGGUGGUACAGGAUGGCUCCGCGUUGGAUUAGCCAGUUGGCGGGUAACGGCCCACCAAAGCGACGAUCCAUAGCCGGCCUGAGAGGGUGGACGGCCACAUUGGGACUGAGACACGGCCCAGACUCCUACGGGAGGCAGCAGUGGGGAAUAUUGCACAAUGGGGGGAACCCUGAUGCAAGCGACGCCGCGUGAAGGAAGAAGUAUCUCGGUAUGUAAACUUCUAUCAGCAGGGAAGAAGAUGACGGUACCUGCAGAAGAAGCCCCGGCUAACUACGUGCCAGCCGCUGC
rnacentral:rRNA from 1 species